CGGCCCCGCCCCCCGCGCCCUCAGGGUGAAAUGGCGGCAGCGGCAGCACUGACUGGAGCUUUUAUGGGAUAUUCCGGGCAUUGCCCGCUCGGCUCCGCCGUCCCACCCGCGCCUCUGACCCCGGGCAUGGAGGUACUGCGGUGCUGGAUCGUCCUAGGCAGCUGCCACUGACCUGGUUUCCUGUCCUUGUUGAGCUUUGGGAAAGCACCCGUUUUUUCUGAAUUUUGGAAUGUUUGGCAGAACCUACCACUCAGAUGUCCACGUAUGAACUAGUAGAGUGAGGUGUUCCCUUGCUCUCUAGAGGAUACCUGCACUUCAAGGUUUGGUUUAUUUGAAGAACUAAGUCUGAUAAUAAACUGAAGUCAAACCCACA